rnacentral:rRNA from 1 species
CGUAGGAGGCGAGCGUAAUCCGGAUUUACUGGGUGUAAAGCGCGUUCAGGCGGUCAUGUAAGUGGUGCGUGAAAGCGCCCGGCUCAACCGGGCGAGGCCGUGCCAAACUGCGUGACUGGAGGCAGGUAGAGGCGCGUGGAAUUCCGGGUGUAGUGGUGAAAUGCGUAGAUAUCCGGAGGAACACCAGUGGCGAAGGCGGUGCGCUGGGCCUGACCUGACGCUAAGACGCGAAAGCAUGGGGAGCGAACGGGAUUAGAAACCCCGGUAGUCCAUGCUGUAAUCGCUGCAGACUAGGUGUUGCGUGCGACGAGUAUGCAGUGCCGAAGCCAACGUGAUAAGUCUGCCACCUGGGGACUACGGCCGCAAGGUUAAAACUCAAAGGAAUUGACGGGGGCCCGCACAAGCAGCGGAGCGUGUGGUUUAAUUCGAGGCUACACGAAGAACCUUACCUGGGCUUGACAUGGCGGUGGUAGGGAACCGAAAGGGGACCGACCUUCGGGAGCCGUCACAGGUGCUGCAUGGCUGUCGUCAGCUCGUGUCGUGAGAUGUUCGGUUAAGUCCGGUAACGAGCGCAACCCUCGCCGCUAGUUACAAGUGUCUAGCGGGACUGCCCGUUGAACGCGGGAGGAAGGUGGGGAUGACGUCAAGUCAGCAUGGCCUUUAUGUCGAGGGCUACACACACGCUACAAUGGCCGGUACAAUGGGUCGCCAACCCGCGAGGGGGAGCCAAUCCAUCAAAGCCGGUCUCAGUUCGGAUUGCAGGCUGCAACCCGCCUGCAUGAAGUCGGAGUUGCUAGUAACCGCAGGUCAGCUAUACUGCGGUGAAUACGUUCCCGGGCAUUGUACACACCGCCCGUCAAGCCAUGGAAGCACGGGGGUACCUGAAGUCCGUAACCGCAAGGAGCGGCACUAGGGUAAAACUGGUAACUGGGGCUAAGUCGUACUAAG